rnacentral:rRNA from 1 species
GAACCUAUAUAAGUAGGUAAUUUAUAUAACAUCAUAGCAGGUACAGAAUUGUAUUCUUGUACAACUUGCAUUUUUUUUUUAUUUUUUUCCCUUAAAGAAAAAACGAAGAAAAAAGUGCUCUUUGUUCAUAUUUGGGGGUCGUGAAGAUUCUACUCGCGAGUAUUUGUACUCGGAAGGGUUAUGAUGACUAUAUAAUAAUCAGACAUAGUACGCUAAGGUUGUAUGUCUAAAGGGAAACAGCCCAGAACAAGAGUUAAUAAGGUUCCAAAAUUAUUGUUAAGUGAAAAUAAGGAAGUUUCAAUCCAAUACGGCCAGGAAAUAGGCUUAGAUGCGGCCAUUUUUUAAAGACCUCGUAAUAGAGCACUGGUUUAGUAAAUUAUUUUUAUAGUUUAUAUUGAUAAAAGCACCAAAAAUUUAACGGAUCUAAACAAUAUACCGAGACCUUGUCCAUAUUUAUAUAUAUAUCUAAGUUGUAUAUUGUAUUUAUGGGGUAGCGGAACAAUGGGCAAAUCUAAGAUUUUUUCUUUAGAAGACUUAAGAUAAGAUAACCCAAGUGAUAAUGCUGACAUGAGUAACGAUAAAGGGAAUGAACUAUUCCCUCGCCUAAAACUUAUGGUAUUUACUUAAAGUAACGGCCUCUAAGUUUAUGAACCUAAAGGACUAAACGAUGAGAAAAUCUUCCACUUACAAACAAAUAACCUUUGUGCAUAGACUUAUAUAACUAUAGGUUUUGUGCUAAAGUGACAAGGGUUCUGGAAAAUUUGAGUGGUGCAUCAUGGAUAAAGGGGAGGACGCAAUCUCCUGCCCUGCAUUCUAUGGUGUAAAAACACCGUACCUAGAAACUACCCCCAGUAAGUUAGUAGAGAAUACGAAGGCGUUGAUGAACAAUCAUUACGACCG